rnacentral:pre_miRNA from 1 species
UGUGCACGGGUGGGGUCCCUCGGCCUGGCCUGCGCCCUCUCGCAAUCCGGGACCCCUUGGGGGAUGUUGGAGUGCCAGUUUCGGCCCGAUUCCUGCAGGCCAGGCUGAGGGACCCCACCAGUGCACA